rnacentral:lncRNA from 1 species
UUAUUUUUAUGCCGGGGCUAUAUAUUUCUUUCAAAUUUCUCGUGGGAGCUUGAAAGAAGAUUAAGAUGAAUAAUCUAUUAAACACAUUAUUGAAAUUUUAUUUUAAUUAUUUUUCUUUUUAUGUGGUAUUUCAUGUUAUAAUCUGAUGUUAGAUUCAUUAUUAAAAAUUAAUUUUAAGUACUUUUUCUUUAAUGUGUUUUUUCAUGUUCGAAGCAUCGAUGAGAUCUAUAAUUGAAACAAAAAAUAGAAGACAUUUUAUGAUGAGAUGAGCAUAUCUAACUACUUUUUUUUUAUGUAGUUUUUCAUGCUCGAAACGCCAAGGGGAUCUACAAUUAAAACUGAUAGCUAAUUGAUGGAGAUCAAAAAGAAUAUUGUUUGCUGGGAUUGAGGCUCCACGCCACCGGCCAUUGCUUCAUCGAGUAAUUGUCAAAUAUGGCAAAUUUGCUCAAGCAACUUAUGAUGCAUUAGAUUUGACUCAGUUUGAAAGUUGCAUGUGCAGCAGUCAUAAAUUGUUUGACAAGUUAGGCCUUAGCAAGAGUUGUACAAAGUUAACAAGUACAUCUAUGCCCCAAUGACUUGGAAGGUGAAAAUUGGCAUACACAUGAGCAAAGAUUCAAAUUGAAAUGGUUUGUAGCAGUUUGCGAUAAUGAAGAAUUGUGAUGAAUUAAAAAGAAAGAAUUAUUCUCUCAUGGAGAGGCAUUGUGACACCUCCAGAAUGGUUUGAAAAUAUGCAUGCAGAGGAAAUUAAGAGUCGAUUGGGCGUAUGAACUCAAAAGAAAUUAGAGUCGACUGGGCAUAUGAACUCAAAAGUGUAACAUGAUUUUUUAAGUAUUCACAUAUCUUAAGAGCGAUUCAACUAGGUACAACAAAUCAAUUGUCUCAGGAUGAG